rnacentral:rRNA from 1 species
UACGUAGGGGGCAAGCGUUAUCCGGUUUUACUGGGUGUAAAGGGGGCGCAGACGGCAGCGCAAGCCAGGAGUGAAAGCCCGAGGCCCAACCCCGGGACUGCUCUUGGAACUGCGCGGCUGGAGUGCCGGAGGGGCAGGCGGAAUUCCUGGUGUAGCGGUGAAAUGCGUAGAUAUCAGGAGGAACACCGGUGGCGAAGGCGGCCUGCUGGACUGCGACUGACGUUGAGGCCCGAAAGCGUGGGGAGCAAACAGG